rnacentral:rRNA from 1 species
UACGUAGGGUGCAAGCGUUGUCCGGAAUCAUUGGGCGUAAAGCGCGCGUAGGCGGCCCGAUAAGUCCGCUGUAAAAGUCAACGGCUCAACUGUUGAAAGCCGGUGGAUACUGUCGGGCUAGAGUACGGAAGAGGCAAGUGGAAUUCCGAGUGUAGAGGUGAGAUUCGUAGAUAUUCGGAGGAACACCAGUGGCGAAGGCGGCUCACUGGUCCAUUACUGACGCUGAGGUGCGAAAGCGUGGGGAGCAAACAGG